ACGUAGGGGGCCAGCGUUGCUCGGAAUUACUGGGCGUAAAGGGUCCGUAGGCGGUGCGGAAAGUCGAUAGUGAAAUCUCUGGGCUUAACCCAGAGGCUGCUAACGAAACUGCCGUGCUAGAGUGUGAGAGAGGCGAGUGGAAUUACGGGUGUAGCGGUGAAAUGCGUAGAUAUCCGUAGGAACAUCCGAGGCGAAAGCGGCUCGCUGGAUCACAACUGACGCUGAGGGACGAAAGCUAGGGGAGCAAACAGGAUUAGAUACCCUGGUAGUCCUAGCCCUAAACCAUCAGGACUUGGGGUUUGCCCUGUACGGGGCAAGUCCCGUAGCUAACGCGUUAAGUCCUGCGCCUGGGGAGUACGGUCGCAAGGCUG
rnacentral:rRNA from 1 species